ensembl:lncRNA
UCGCAUUCCUACCCAGUGUAUGCAUACUGAAGUAAAAAAAUUCAGGAAACAAGCCAGUAUUUUCUACUAUAUUUCAUUUAAAAAUGCCAGUCAUGACACACUAAAUUAGAUGACCCACCAAUGGGUUGUGACUCAUCAUUCGAAAUCAGUGGACUAGUCAAUCUCCAAGAUAUGUCGUUUUGAAAGAAUCCUGUGGCGACUACUAGGAUUUCCCUAAUCUUUCUAAUGAUCAAGAACCUAUUUUGAGUCCCAGCACAGUAUUUACCAAGCAGGUAUGGCAUGCAUAAUUACGAGAAAGACGUUAAAUGCCCAAUUAAAUCUUAUGGAUAGAUCAGAUUCAAACGCUCUUUAGGAGUUUUUGAAUUGUUUUUAUUUUCACAAACAGAAAAGGUAUAGAGGACUUCAGUACUCAUGCGUUUUAGUCUUCCUCUGUUAACUACGGCUAUUAAUCCCUGUCGUGGUUCCGCCAAAAUUGAGAAGAUCAAGAAGAUCAAGUGAGAAAAGAGAUAAGAAAACCACGUUGAUAACCAACAUUUUAUUACUAUUAUUCUGCGAAGCCAGGAAAGGGGAAUGCUGCGGUCAACCUCUAUGAGGCAGGGUCUCAGUAUUUUUGAAACUCUCUACUUUUACAGCACUGUUACAUUAGCCUCUCGAAAUACCUAACCAUGCAAAAGGCGUGAGCCUCCCCUAAAACGGAGUUAGCUGUAAAGUUGCCAGAGGUUCGACCCCCAAGCCACGCGCCCCGCUCCGUCUGCGCAUGCUCUAGUGCAGCGCCCGCCUCCUCCCGGGGUUGGGCGGAACGCGGAAGGUGGGGCGCAGGCCACGUGGGUUCGGUGACGUCAUCUCUGGGCGCCGAGGGUGACUGGACUUGCUGUGGGCUUCCAAGGCCCCGCGGCGCUGCGGGUUGUAUUGGCAGGAUACCGGAGGGCGGAAGUGCAGCAGAGAUCGGCACCGACCUCCACGCCGCUGCCUUCUGCGGCUGCGCGGGCUCUCGGGACUCCAGGCUCCCGCGCCUCUGCGGGACAGUGUAUCAAGCAGCCAGCGCCGCCGCCCUGCCAGAGCCCGGGAUCCGAGCGUCUUCAUCGGUGCAGGAAGCGGGAGAAGGAGCUGGCAUUUCUGCCAGUUUUUCAUCACCUUCUAUUCAUUCUUCCUUGGAAAGACUUCUUAUCUGUCUCUUAUCCAUCUACUACUACGAGUCUAGGCCAGACACUCAUUAUUAUAUGCCUUACUGCUGAAAUUCCUUUCUGCCUACCCUCUCUUGGACAUGGGAUCUCCUUUUGUGUACUACUAGGUAAUUGUUUUUAUUUCACCAUUAUCAAACCUUACAGGCUUUGUAGGUUGGAUGAAAUUGAGAACCCACAGUCUUCUGUUUGGUAUGCUUCAUGAUCUAGUCUUAUUUUACAUUCACAGGUUUGACAUUAAAGGUAUAAUAAUUGCUUUUAUUUCCCAGCACUUACUAUGUGUCCAGUACCAUGUCAAACACUUUGUAGAUAUUUUCCCCCCUAGAACAACCUGGUGAAUUUUAUAGAUAAGGAAAUGUGACUUGCCUAGGAUCACAGGUGAUACUAAAACAUGUCUCAGUGUCAGCUCUUUCAUUAUCUACUACUCAAAGUUUCCUAAAAAAUUGGUACACAUAUUGCUUUUAUACAUUUUAUGCCUCUGUUGAUGUUCUUUUGCCCUACUUGUAAUAUUUGUCUUUAUUCUAUAUUCUAUCUAUGGAAUAUUCUACCCGUUCCGUAUAUAUUCAUUCUUCUAUAUUCUACCCAUUCUUCAAGUUCCAUAUCUUUUCAGUUCUCUGAACACUGUAAGAUAUGUUAAUAUUUUUCUCCUCCCUUUCUACCUUCCUCCAUUAUGAAAGCUUUCAUAAAAUAGCACUUAAUUAUAACUGUGGGCAUUUGGAAUUGGAAGGCAUGUUGACAACUGGUAUGACAUAAAUGAAAGAAUAUGAGAUUGGAAAUCAGAGAUAAAAUUUUUUUUUUAAUGUUUUAAUUAUUUUUGAGAGAGCAAAAGUGGUGGGGGGGGGGGCAGAGAGAGGGAGACAGAAGAUCCAGAUCAGGCUCUGCACUUCUUCCCUAUGUGAGGCUUGAACCCAUGAACCACAAGAUCGUGACCUGAGCUGAAGUUGGACGUUCAGCCAACUGAGCCACCCGGGCGCCCCAAAAAUCUUUAAGCCUGUAAGUAUUGUAGUAGAGGAAAAGUAAAAGUGCAGUGAGGAAAGAGAGGUUUUACCUGAGUUAUUCAUAAAGGGUUAUUUUGAGUUGGGUCCUAAAGGAUAUUUCAGUCAGAAGAUAAGGUAGGGAAGGCUACUUUAGGGUCAGGAACCACCAGCGUGAGGAAAGCCAUGGAAAAGAUGUGAAAGUGCGUGGUAUGUUUAGUAAAUUAAGAGACAGUAUCUUCUGGACAAUGCCUGAGGUUUUAAAAAGUUGUUGUAAUUGUUAUUUUCACUACCAUCAUCAUCUUAUAUGCUCUCAGCACCUGCCACAGAGCUGGGCAUAUCAAAUGAUCAAAUAUUUAUUGACUCUGUAUUGAGUGGUAAUAGCAGUGUUCAAUUCUGAGACAUGCUCUUGUUCUGUAAAUUAUGAUAGACACUUCGUAGUACUAUAUUAGAGGCAUUAUUCUAAGUGCUUUACGUGUAUUAAUUUAAUUAUCAUAUGUGUUUUAUGGGGUAAGUGCUGUUAUUCACAUUUUACGGAUGAGAAGACAGAGACACAGAGAAGUUGACUAACUUGAGGUCACAGAGUAAGUGAUAAAGUGAAUCUAGGCAAUCUGACUCCAUAUUCUACAUUUUGAAUGUACUACUACCACAUUGUAGUGCCUCUCAAGAGUUAAAUUUUGAUUUUCUGCCUCUAUUUUAAAAAGGAUGAUUGAGGGAAACCUGGGUGGCUCAGUUGGUUAAGAUUCUGACUUCAGCUCAAAUCAUGAACUUGUGGUUCAUGAGUUCAAGUCCCGCAUUGGGCUCUGUGCUGACAGCUUAGAGCCGGAGCCUGCUUCAGAUUCUGUGUCUCCCUCUCUCUCUCUGACCCUCCCCAAGUCUCUGUCUCACUCUCUCUCUCCAAAAGUAAAUAAACAUUAAAAAAAGUUUGAAUAAAAAGAUGAU